rnacentral:pre_miRNA from 1 species
AAAGUACUCCCUCCAUCCCAAAAUUCUUGUCUUAAAUUUGUCUAAAUACGAAUGUAUCAAGUCACAUUUUAGUAUUAAAUACAUCUGUAUCUAGACUAAUCUAAGACAAGAAUUUUGGGACGGAGGGAGUAUGAA